NUCAUUUACUCUUUUCUAUAUUGUCUUUUCUUUUUCAUAGAUAACAGUUAUAAAAAUUUACAAUUAUAAGCACACUAUAAAUAUUGGCUAGAGUAGAGUGAAAAAUUUGUUAGGUUUUUGGUCAAUAAUAUUGUUUCUUUUCUUGCUUUCCCAAUUAGAUUACCUUAUUCUCCUUUUCUUUUUCUUUGUCAUGCAUUCAUAGUGUCCCAGUUUUUUAUUUUUUUAGCUAAUUCACAUCAUUAUCCUUCAUGGAAAAAGUAGAUUUAUCUGAUCAAAUUAAUAUAUUCAUUUGAUUAGAGAAUAAGAUAAUCAAUUAAAAACUUAGUGUAAGUUAAUCAAUUGGUUUUUUUUCUUUAUAUUUUUCUAUUAAUUUUUAAUACACAAUUAAUGCCACCAAGAUUUGAUAUGUUCAUCUAUAGAUAAUUUAUUAUUACACAUAUAUGAUAUAGUACAUAUUUUUAUAUAGGCAGAAAAUAAUCCCCCGUAUCAUAUUUGAUACACUUAGGGUCCGUUUGGAUUGGGUAUAAAUUAAAAUUUUUAAAUUUGCUAAAAUACUACAAAUUAUUUAUUAAAAUUUGUAUAAAUUAAAAUAUUUAAAUUUGAUAAAAUAUUAUUUACCCGCCGCAAAGCGCGGGCCCUAAACUAGUAGAAGUUGAAGUUUCGAUAACUUGAUUUGGAGAAAAAAAAAACUAAAAAUUUUAUGAAGUAAAUGAAAUUUCAGGAAAAAUUAGGCGACUAAUAAUGUAUUAGACUCAAUUAUAUGCAAUUACUUGUAGAUGUGUACGACAC
rnacentral:lncRNA from 1 species